AUGUCAUGAUAAGGGUAGUUUCAUAAUAACUCAUUGAACCGCUCCCAUGCCUUAUAUAAAGAUUCUUCAUCAAGUUGCUCAAAUGAAGUGAUUUCAUUUUAGAUCUU
rfam:Gossypium hirsutum cultivar TM-1 chromosome 8, whole genome shotgun sequence